GAUGAACGCUAGCUACAGGCUUAACACAUGCAAGUCGAGGGGCAGCAUGGUCUUAGCUUGCUAAGGCCGAUGGCGACCGGCGCACGGGUGAGUAACACGUAUCCAACCUGCCGUCUACUCUUGGACAGCCUUCUGAAAGGAAGAUUAAUACAAGAUGGCAUCAUGAGUCCGCAUGUUCACAUGAUUAAAGGUAUUCCGGUAGACGAUGGGGAUGCGUUCCAUUAGAUAGUAGGCGGGGUAACGGCCCACCUAGUCUUCGAUGGAUAGGGGUUCUGAGAGGACGGUCCCCCACAUUGGAACUGAGACACGGUCCAAACUCCUACGGGAGGCAGCAGUGAGGAAUAUUGGUCAAUGGGCGAGAGCCUGAACCAGCCAAGUAGCGUGAAGGAUGACUGCCCUAUGGGUUGUAAACUUCUUUUAUAAAGGAAUAAAGUCGGGUAUGCAUACCCGUUUGCAUGUACUUUAUGAAUAAGGAUCGGCUAACUCCGUGCCAGCAGCCGCGGUAAUACGGAGGAUCCGAGCGUUAUCCGGAUUUAUUGGGUUUAAAGGGAGCGUAGAUGGAUGUUUAAGUCAGUUGUGAAAGUUUGCGGCUCAACCGUAAAAUUGCAGUUGAUACUGGAUAUCUUGAGUGCAGUUGAGGCAGGCGGAAUUCGUGGUGUAGCGGUGAAAUGCUUAGAUAUCACGAAGAACUCCGAUUGCGAAGGCAGCCUGCUAAGCUGCAACUGACAUUGAGGCUCGAAAGUGUGGGUAUCAAACAGGAUUAGAUACCCUGGUAGUCCACACGGUAAACGAUGAAUACUCGCUGUUUGCGAUAUACAGCAAGCGGCCAAGCGAAAGCGUUAAGUAUUCCACCUGGGGAGUACGCCGGCAACGGUGAAACUCAAAGGAAUUGACGGGGGCCCGCACAAGCGGAGGAACAUGUGGUUUAAUUCGAUGAUACGCGAGGAACCUUACCCGGGCUUAAAUUGCAGAUGAAUUACGGUGAAAGCCGUAAGCCGCAAGGCAUCUGUGAAGGUGCUGCAUGGUUGUCGUCAGCUCGUGCCGUGAGGUGUCGGCUUAAGUGCCAUAACGAGCGCAACCCCUGUUGUCAGUUACUAACAGGUUCCGCUGAGGACUCUGACAAGACUGCCAUCGUAAGAUGUGAGGAAGGUGGGGAGGACGUCAAAUCAGCACGGCCCCUACGUCUGGGGGUACACACGUGUUACAAUGGGGGGUACAGAGGGCCGCUACCACGCGAGUGGAUGCCAAUCCCAAAAACCUCUCUCAGUUCGGACUGGAGUCUGCAACCCGACUCCACGAAGCUGGAUUCGCUAGUAAUCGCGCAUCAGCCACGGCGCGGUGAAUAAGAUCCCGGGCCUUGUACA
rnacentral:rRNA from 1 species